UACGGAGGGUGCAAGCGUUAUCCGGAUUCACUGGGUUUAAAGGGUGCGUAGGCGGGCAUUUAAGUCAGUGGUGAAAUCCCGGGGCUCAACCCCGGAACUGCCAUUGAUACUAUGUGCCUUGGAUAUUGUGGAGGUCAGCGGAAUAUGUCAUGUAGCGGUGAAAUGCUUAGAUAUGACAUAGAACACCUAUUGCGAAGGCAGCUGGCUACGCAUAUAUCGACGCUGAGGCACGAAAGCGUGGGGAUCAAACAGG
rnacentral:rRNA from 1 species